rnacentral:rRNA from 1 species
UACGUAGGGUGCAAGCGUUGUCCGGAAUUAUUGGGCGUAAAGAGCUCGUAGGCGGUCUGUCGCGUCGGCUGUGAAAACCCGGGGCUCAACCCCGGGCCUGCAGUCGAUACGGGCAGACUAGAGUGCGGUAGGGGAGACUGGAAUUCCUGGUGUAGCGGUGAAAUGCGUAGAUAUCAGGAGGAACACCGGUGGUGUAGACGGCUCUCUGGACCGUAACUGACGCUGAGGCACGAAAGCGUGGGUAGCAAACAGG